AACGGCGUGGAGUGAAAACUGGAUAAAAGAGGAAAGACUCGGCUUCGCUGCCGCUCAACAACACAGCGGGCCGUUAACCAUGCGGAGGUCCGACAAGAAUGCGCCAUACGUCACAGUGUGUGUGGAAUGCCGUCACUUCGCCGGCUGACUUCGACCUGAACCGUCCUAUGAAUAGACCCGACCAGGGAACCAUAAAUAGGCCUGGCAGCACAAAGCCAGGAUGAUGUUCUUGUCCUGCAAGCUAAAGCCAAUCAGGUUUACAAAGUAGCUGGCAGACAAAUCAAAUGAUGACUCUUCCAUUUUCAGAACCCCCCUAAAAGUGACAGCCUUGUUCUGAAUGCUGAUUCAUUUCCACCUAGAGACUAAAUACCUCACACCAGGGAGGAAAUGACCAUCCAGGGAAGACCUGCCUCAUACAAAUCCUGCUGAGAAAAGAUACGGAGAUGUUUGUUUUAAACUUGUGAUUCAUUCUUCCUAAUAACUUCUCAUGUGACAAACUGAGAUGCCUUGUGAUUCAGUCCAUGCUCUUCUAAAUAAGGCCCUGAGCUCCUCUGUGAUAUUCAGCUUUGUGUUCAGCACUCACCGUCUUUAUUUAAGCCCAGACACAGAUAGCAGGGAAGUAGUAAAUUAAUGAAGUGAU